rnacentral:rRNA from 1 species
CGUGGUGGAACCUUUGGGGAUCUUGGGGAUUUUUUUUCCUUUGGGGAUCUUUUUUUUGGGUGGAACCUUUCUGUCCACGGUUUAGCCCCUCGCGUGUGGACCAGGCCAGCUCGCGCGGGUUUGUCUGUGCCCGUGGAGGAGGUAAGAUAGAAGAGCUCCACGGGUGCGGGGAGGAGGAGCUGGUGGGUUAGGCCAAGUGUGGCGGAGAGCGGCAGCGGUACAGGCAGCGGCACCACCGGCGGAGGAGGAGGGAGGGGAGAGCGAUGCGUGACCGGGUGCGGUUGAGCGUGGCAGGAGAGGCGGGGGACGCGAAGUAGAGAAGGGGCGGCGUCGGCACGCGGAGGGGUCGCAGGGAGGAGGCCGCCGCCGCCCGCCGCCGCGGGUGGUGGAAGACGAGGCGCGGCAGCGAGCCGGCGCAGCCGACCGGCGCGGCGCUCCCCUCGCGGACCGACGAGAGGAAGUCGCGGCUCCGGCUACGGAGGGGCAGCCUGCGCCUCCCCCGGCACCUGGGGAGCCUCCGCCAGAGGCGCGACGAGGGCGAGCAGCAGCAGCGGUGCCGGCAGCGGCGGGAGCCGUUGGGACGGUGGAAGAGGACCCACAGGUUCCUCGACAUGCGUGGACGUGAACCCCCGUAAUACGAGAGGUAACCGUAGUUUGAUAGGAAGCUGCUGAAGCGAGACCGGAAGUUCUCCGGACACGGCGACAGCUAACCCAUGUACCGGGUCAUGUACGACUUCGGCGACGACCCCCACGAUUAGCGUUCCCACAAGGCCUACGGUAGUCGGAAGAAGCGCCCAAAGUACGAAUGUACGACACAGAGCCCACGCGUCGAAAGCUCGAUACGAUCGAAGGACCCCUUUCCUCUACAACGCAACUCAUAAGACGAGUGUUGGAUGAGGUGGUAUAGAAGCCACUAACACUGUGGAUAAGAGUGACCAAACAACUAACCAAGUCACCAAGGCCAAUUACCUUAACGUUACCGCUUUAGCUAAGAGGUCCACCAAGAAGACGGACACUGUGAUCCAGAGGAAGACUUAUGGAUACGUUUUGGUCACCAAUUACAGUAUGUUGGUCACUACGGUAAACAACGAUACCACACGUGUAGUGAGACAUAACCCUCGGGAGAACGAUAUUUAUCCUGGUACGAGGAGAGUAGUGUCCCUAAGUACAAUGAAGAGGGGUAUCACUGAAAGGUGUAACGCCGGAAACAACACCCAAUGACCCAAAGGUUCAACGGAGUCAACUCCAUUAGUAAUUUACGGUACUAGUGACCGCCUCGAAUCCGUUCCGGUUUACCCGGUACCGGGCGGGUCGAGACGUCGAAAAAGAGUGUUAUAUCGAUCGGGUACCCAACAUCUUACGGUCGAUCAUCAUUAAGGAACGUCGGACCGGGUAAGUCGGGCGGGUCGAAAAAAACCGUUCGAGGCGGUGACCGGUACUAAUGUGAAAAUAAGUAAAGAUUACGAGAAGGACGUAUUGACUAAAAAACGGGUGCUAGAACGAUUUCGUGCUAAAUUAGAAAAAGACACUACGACGAAAGACAAUACAGACGCGGAGGAUAAAUAGUAGAUUCUCCUUUACUAUUAGACGGAGAUCCCUUUAGAACUGGCUAAAGUGAUUUAUUCAUUUAAGACAGUAAAUGAAAAACACAAUCAGUGAAACUCGAAGUCAGUUCAUCAAAGGAAAACUUUUGUAUACAACUUUAAGAACGAAUUUUACCGCUUUACACAAUCUGUAUAGUAUAAAGUAUAAUACAAAUAUACGGUCACUGUUCAGAACACCAGGGUAUAAACAUAUAAAAUGGACUUAAUAAGGAAAUUAGAUUGGAUAAUCUUUUCCACUAGUAAAAAGGACAAGUGUAAACAGUACCGGUAAUUAAAGGUUUUGACCUUGAAUUAAGUUACACCAAUUCUAACACUAUAUACCGGACAAUAAACGUCGUAAACCAUGGAAGUAGGACACAGACCUUUCCAGUUUAUCAUAGUGUAGGAGUAAUGACCGAAGACAAUGUAAUGCAAAACUCAGUCGUUAGAUAAAAACCGUAUUUUGAUAUGAAGACUUCAAGGAACUACGACAAACCGAUUGAAAGAAAGACGGGAAUACACAUCCGUUCUUCUUGGUCAAACAUCCUGAUAUAGUCACACAUGACCUUACGUCUCGAGGUGGGAUCGACCCGAAGAACGAUGGGUCAAAGAACCUUAAUCAGUCCGUCAAGGACGUCGUACAAGACAACAACAGUACCGUUAUAAACCAAACUGAGAACGUAGCAUGACCCCUUCACCAUACGCUUAUUCCCUGGAAGGAAACUCUAAGAAAGGUGUUCGAAGGCGACUACGCUCUAGUACUCUCCGACCUAAAUCGUAACUUUAAGAAAGUUCCCGAGGGCCAAAGUCUUUGAGUCGACGGGAAACCCCUACGUCAAUGUCCCCACAGGACGCCGAGUAGGUCGUUAGUCCGUACGGUAUCAUCGAUGUUUUCCGUCUUGAUGUUUGGCGUCUAACACGUUCUACUCGUCGCCGACUCCUAUUGGAGCGGUGUCUUUGGUGAACGUACCGACGUAUGCUACCUUCCUAUUACUCUACGAUCGGUAAAUGGUGAAUAGUAUGGUACACGUCAUCCGAGGUAAUCACCACGAGGGAACCGGUAAAAAAAACAUCUAUGAUCUAUCAUCUGUGCAACUGCCAAGGAUACAUGUGGUGAUUCGUAUACGUACACGUUACGGUUAUAGUAGCUGCGUAAGAAGGGUCCUACUUGGGGUACCUACAGACAUGGGAAGACUUCACGAACAAAGAACGAGAUUAUUGGGUAGUUUUAGUGUAAGAUACAGCGUCUACACGAGUAACGAAACGUUUCACUUGAAGCUUAAGUCGCCAAGAUCAACCUGUUUU